CACAAGUCUUCAGUUUGGAGUAGGGGCAAAGAAGAAACAAGGAAAAAGUUACCUUUGGAGUUAUAUGAGGCAACCUGAAAUUCAGCUUAUGGCUCUCCUCAAGGAACAGGUCUCCAAUGGAUGUUUUUCCAACUAAGUUUUAUUUAAAUAUAAGUGCCCUUAAAGUUGCCUGAAGUGAUAAUUGUGGGUUCUGCCCUUUGACACCAAAUUUGAACUUGUAAACAGGAGAAAAAAAAAAAAAAGGAAGUGUUCAACAGAAACUCCACUGGAAUUACCACUGGUGAACUGAAAAAAACUGUAAAAUGGCUUUAGUUUUGUUUGAAACUUCCCUAUGGCUUGUAAAAAUUAUAUUGAACAUACAACACUCUAGAAUGAAAUCCUGUUUAUCUAGCAAAUAACAGCAAAUAAAUGCAGUUCAUUUCCAAAGAGGGAGGGGGAAAAAAGCAAGAGGGAAAAUGUAGUGCCCGGGAAAGGGUUAAGGUAAGAAUUUUUUUACCCUUUCUUCUCAAGGUAGUAGCCAAAGAGGACCAUUUCAUCCACUUGUAGCUGUUAGAGUCUUGCUUGUACUCCUGCAACAGUUUACACUGUGCUUAACUGUUUCUUUGUGGCUGCAGCAGACGAUGUAGUGUCUCCCUGCGCAGCAGCAGAACAGCUCCAGCUAUUCAGAGGCGAGAACUGGAAGAGCUCCUAAGAAAGGAGGUCUGUGAGAAACCCAGCAUUAUUUCAGCAUAUUCGGCAUACUGGGCUCUGCCUUCCUCCUCCUCGCCCCUCCUCUUCUCCUUCUGUUUAUAAUUUCCUUUCCUUGGGUAUCUGUUUCUGAAGUCACUUAGCCUCUGUCCUCACCUAACAUUUUGACUUCCCCCUGUUUUUUCACCUCUCCUUAUCUCCUAUGAUUUCUUCUUGUGGAUUUUGGACACCAAAGGUAGUUCUGGUAAACAUAAGGUCGGUUGGUUUGUUUGGGGUGUUUGUGCGUGCAGGUGUGCAGGGGGGAAUGUACAGUGACUUAUGUUAGCUUAUGUUAAGGCUGUAGCGAACUCUCAUUUCAUACCGGACUGUUCUCCCCACCUUCAACACCUCUUUUCCCCUCUUCCUUUAAGCCAGCUGCUCCUUUUUCCUGUCGACUGUGCUUUUCUCUUGCUGCUCACUCUCAUAGCAAAUACACUUGCUCCAGUGCUUUUGCUUCCUUGCUGGCUUCCUGUGCAAUUGCAGCUGCCUUCUGCCCCGUGACAUCGCAGAAACUGCCUCAUCCAGCUACAGACCCGUUUUCCGGUGAUGGAGCCUCCUGUUUGUUUUUUGGGAUUGUUUGUCUGCAUGGCUGUGUCCAAUCAUUUCCUUGUGUUCACCAGCUUUUUGUCCUCCCAGUCCGUCGUCCCUGGGAGUGAUCACAAUGACGAUGACCUUAACCUUGCCUUUCUUCACUCUGCACACUAAUACUGUUGCAGAUGCCCACAAGGUCUCAGUUCCUUUUUUGGUUCUCUCCAAGGCAGAGGCACUGGGUCUGCAAUUUGGGCUGGCCACUAAGAGCAGUGACCUUCUUUACCGGAAGCAACUUUUCACAGAAACUCGCAGUCACUUCCCCCUGACAGGGUGACGUCAGUGCCCGGGAAGGUGAUUUCUGGGGAAAAGCAAGGUGUGGCUCAGUGACAUGUGUGAUAUGACUGCCCUAGCUGCUCCUGUGGUGGGAACAGAUAUCAGCAGGAGGUAACGUGCUCAUGGACCGGCAAUGCUGAGAGAAGGACCAAGAGAACCCUCGAAAACCUUACAAGAGCCCCCCUCCCAAGAUACAGUGAGAAAACUUCAGCCCUAAAACUAGAGGAGGGAUGGGAAACUUAUGGUCCAGGGGAUGCCUACAACCUGCAGCUUAAUUCUUCAUGUUACUGCUGAAUAAUACUAAGAUGUUUGAAGUAUUGCCAUCCUUCUGAAAGCCACGGAAACGGGAAAAAUAUUUUGAAUGAACAACUGCAAUUAGUAGCUAAGACAUGUGAGUGACUAGCAUGUCUCAGCCACUUCUGGGACGGAGCACUGAGGAGGACUGACCAGGAACGGGAAAGAACAGAGUAAAACCAGCCAGUGGGGGAAGCGGGGAAAGCCUUUAAUGCCAUCAGCAGAAGAGAGUGAGAAUAUUUUGACCAGACCUGGGAAUUGUUUGUAACAAUUAAUGGCUUCUCAGACUCACGUGAACCUGAAUUCUCACCUGCCUGCACAGCACUCACCGAUGCAAGUUCAAAUGGUUAACCCUCUGUCAUUACCGGAAUACCAAAUUCUUGCCAUGUGAUUGAAAGCCACCGAUAAAGUGUUGCAAUUUUAGUAUUAAGUCAUCAACUCCACAGAAAGUUGCCUAUGUGAGAAUUGCAUUAAGAGAUGACAUCUAACAGUGACACCCUGCCUCCAUGCUGGUGUUAUUUCAGAAGAGUGAAAACAGCAAAGGCCCUGGGAAGAGGAGAGCUGUAUAUAAAAGUUAACUCUUACCAAUAGUCCUUCUGCCCCAAGUAUUCUUCAGAAGAAGAGAGACUGUUUUAAACCACAGCACAGCUUCACGUGCAUCCUACUUAGGGACACCUUCGUUUUGUUGCUUCAGUUCUGACACUGCAUUAGGUAAUGAGCAAUGUAUGAAAUAGUGUGAAUCAAGUGAUUUCAUUUUAAUGUGGCUUCUGCUUCCUGCAUUGAUCCAGUAGCGGAAUAAUUACACAGAUAAUUGCUUCUUCUAGAACAGCCUUUCAGGCUGCUUGUGACAGACCUCAUUGCUCUCCUCAUGCUUUUAAGGAAGGUGGUGUGGCCACUUGCUGGAGCAGCAAGACUGCUUUCAAAGCAGGGUCGAGUGGUUUUACUAUUUAAAUGGGCAAAUGCCAUUCUUUGCCAGAUGACAAUUAAGGGCCACGUAUCACUCGAGACAACAACAGAAGUGUCCUGCUCAGAUUAAUACAGUUUAGGCAGUACCAUGAAAAAUAAUGUAGAUUAAUUACAUAUAAUUAGCACACUAUGUUAGAAUUAAUUUGUCUUAAAGGAAGCUAGCUUUUCUUCUGGGGAUUUUUCUACUACAUUAGAGGGGGUUUGACCAUGCUUGUCUCAAUAGAUUCACUUCUAAUAGAAUAAGAGGCUUGAUUCAUAAGGGCAGGGUUUUGAUUAAUUUUGUUUGUCAUAUUAGCAUGAAGGAGGAGUUUUUUGGGGAAAGUAUUUACACAAACAGCAUUUACAUUUGCAAUCCAAAAGCCUCAGUGACCUGCUUUGCAGGCGAUGCAGAAGGGGACUGCUUUUAUCUUAAAUUGAAGUAAACGCACUGUUAAAGUAAACAUGCAGCAGCAACACCACCUAACAAAGGGAACAUGAAUAAUAACUUUUCUAAUUUAAGCUGAACGUGGGAGGAUAUAGGUAGGCAGCAAAAGAAGUUGGAAACCGAUUUCCCGUGUGAUUCAUGGAUUUUUUCAGCAGUUGCUUGCACAGGUAAAUUAUAAUAGCUGGCAUUUACAUAUAGCUUUUCACUUAUUAAGAUCUGAUGGGUUAGGGGCUUUUUCUUUUUGGCAAAUGAAAUACUGAAGCACAACGAAGUUAAGAAGCUGGCUCAUGGUACUGACUGUGUCAAGUGUCUUGACUUUUGGAGACAGAACAGAUCCACUGAUUCUGCAGAAAACUGCUCACCUUUAAGUGAGAGAAAUUAAGAGUAAAAUGAAUGGAAUUACCUACAGAAGUUAGGGGAGGAUUUUUAUAUCACUGGAAUUGUACCAAUAUUCUCCACGGCUUGUGAGCAAUGGUAACCAAAAGGAUGUACUAGUACUUUAAUAAGAUUAUGUCUGUGUUCCAUGUUCCUUCAUUACUUAUGACGUCUACAAUCACUCCCUACCUACACGUUUACUGAGACAAAGGGAGCUCCCUGUUGCCAUUACAUUUCCAACCCCUUCCUCCUACAUUCUUCUCAUUCCAUAGUACACAACUAGAUUUGGCAACAUUUUUCCUUAACAGAGAUCAAAACUAGGUGUCCUGACACAAGAACAGAAAACAAGAAUAAUCCAGAUGAUGUCUGCAGGGCUCUGCUACAUACUAUAAUGAAAGCAGCAUUUGACCCAAUGCUAAUAUAAGUGACUCUGAAACAGUGAUGACAUAAAAAAAAAAUAAAUUAGAAAGCCAAAAGUAAUUUCCAAACAAUGCUUUCCACAUUCUCUGGUCUUGUAUAGAUCUCAUUAUCAUUGCUUCUGUUACAGGCA